rnacentral:rRNA from 1 species
GACGAACGCUGGCGGCGUGCUUAACACAUGCAAGUCGAACGGAAAGGCCCUGCUUUUGUGGGGUGCUCGAGUGGCGAACGGGUGAGUAACACGUGAGUAACCUGCCCUUGACUUUGGGAUAACUUCAGGAAACUGGGGCUAAUACCGGAUAGGAUCUCCUGCUGCAUGGUGGGGGUUGGAAAGUUUGGGCGGUUGGGGAUGGACUCGCGGCUUAUCAGCUUGUUGGUGGGGUAGUGGCUUACCAGGCAUUGGCGGGUAGCCGGCCUGGGAGGGUGACCGGCCACAUUGGGACUGAGAUACGGCCCAGACUCCUACGGGAGGCAGCAGUGGGGAAUAUUGCCCAAUGGGCGGAAGCCUGAUGCAGCAACGCCGCGUGCGGGAUGACGGCCCUCGGGUUGUAAACCGCUUUAGCCUGUGACGAAGCGUGAGUGACGGUAAUGGGUAAAGAAGCACCGGCUAACUACGUG